GUUAGUAGCCAGAGAGGAAGGAGUUUCCUGAGCAAAGCUGUGAGGAGAAGUCUGACUGCAGGUUUUCUACCUCAGAUGCCCAGGGGGAGGCAAUGGUGUAUCAGAGGAGAUGCCAUCUGACCCGGAAAAGUGGCUCAUCAGGAUGAACUGGGUCAUUGGCCUCCCCAGCUAGAGCAUCUGCCAGGCAACACCCACAAUUAAGGAUAAACUCAUUCCCAAUGGCAAGAACAACUACAACAACAACACGCUACUCCAUGGCACAGAAGCAGAACUUCUCGUGCUUGUCAUAACCUGCUACUCUGAGAUUUGUAGGUCUCAGAUGAAAUUGCUCCUGAGCAAAGAAAAAAGGGUCAACUUCUUGGAAUGCAGAGAUAUCAGAUUCGCCCAAAGAACUUUGUGCUGCUCAUAGCCACUUCAUCACUUCACCCAAGCAGAACUGCUUUCCAUGGUCAUAGUGCACUGGUAUUUUUUGCCAUUUCUCCUGUUUCUUGAAAUGCCCUUUGACCGCU